AUACGUAGGGGGCAAGCGUUAUCCGGAAUCACUGGGCGUAAAGGGAGCGUAGGCGGUUUGACAAGCCAGAGGUGAAAGGCAAUAGCUUAACUAUUGUAAGCCUUUGGAACUGUCGAACUUGAGUACAGGAGAGGGCAAUGGAAUUCCAUGUGUAGCGGUAAAAUGCGUAGAUAUAUGGAGGAACACCAGUGGCGAAGGCGGUUGCCUGGCCUGUAACUGACGCUGAAGCACGAAAGCGUGGGGAGC
rnacentral:rRNA from 1 species